CAGCCGCCGCGGUAAUUCGGAGGGUGCAAGCGUUAUUCGGAUUUACUGGGCGUAAAGGGCGCGUAGGCGGCUUGAUAAGUCAGUCGUGAAAGCCCGGGGCUCAACCCCGGAAGUGCGAUUGAAACUAUCAGGCUUGAGUAUGGUAGAGGGAAGUGGAAUUCCAGGUGUAGCGGUGAAAUGCGUAGAUAUCUGGAGGAACACCGGUGGCGAAGGCGACUUCCUGGACCAAUACUGACGCUGAUGCGCGAAGGUGUGGGUAGCAAACAGGAUUAGAUACCCUGGUAGUCCACACAGUAAACGGUGAUCACUAGGUGUUGCGGGUAUUGACCCCUGCAGUGCCGGAGCUAACGCAUUAAGUGAUCCGCCUGGGGAGUACGGUCGCAAGAUUAAAACUCAAAGGAAUUGACGG
rnacentral:rRNA from 1 species